ACAUGGAUGUGACAAACACACAAGAACAAGUGUGACGUCUCUCCUGUUUCCCUUUCUAGAUGCUUCCUGAAGUUCUGCACUGCAUCUUGCCACCAUGCCAGGCUCCCUCUGAUCCAUGACCACAGCUCUGUGCAUCAGACGUCAUUCCAGAGCAGCACAGCUCUUUCCCAGGAGAUAAGUGAGGGUUUUUUUUUUGCCUACACAACAGCUCUCCUGAGCUUUCCCAUGCUGGGAGGGUGGGAGGGAGGAGAUCCAGCUUCCUCCCUGUCCGAGCGCCAGCCCCGUGGGCCUGCCAUGGCACUGCUGGGAACAUCCAGGGGCAUUAUGCAAUUUGCAGAGGCGGUUUUUCAUGCAGCCUGGCAAGACAGGGUCUGAUAAUGGCUCUCCCUUUGUUUGUAGCACACAAUCGAGCUCAUGAUCAUCUCUCCAAGUACAGGCAGCCCACGGUGUUAUGUCCUGUACUGCUGUGAUGACGAGAGCAGGGCUGUGCACAGGAGCCCUGCAGUGCUUUCAUCAGUGAAUGCUGUGCUAGUUAGGCACAAAUCAUUAAUGGUCUAAAAAGGGCUGGAAUAAGCUAGCUCGGCUCUGGUGGAAGUGCGUGUUGUGUCUUUUUCAGGAGGCAUGGGAAACCCUUCUUAAGUCUGUUUUUAAGCUUCUCAACUUUGGUUUCUCAGUAAUGUCACUGAUUCCACUUUCCAAAAGGUCAUACAGGGGAAUUCUCUUCUGCCAUCUCCAAAGAAUGACAAUGUUCCUCUAAUGAAGUAACAAAUUGUUCAACACGAUGUGCUUAGCAAUUACCCUCCCCCAUAAAGGCAUUAACAGCAGAUGAAUACUCUUCCCCAGGGAGCAACAUUAGUGCUUUAAAGAACUGAGAACUGCUCUUGAUGCUGUUUCACUUUGAUUUCUGCUCCUGGCUCCCAGAGCUCAGGACUGUUGCUUACUUCACAAAGGUUUUAUUUCGGAGGAGCAACAGGACAAUAACUAAUUCCAUAGGUUAUCUAGAAAUAACUUCCCUUUAGCAAGAAGACAAAUUGCAACCAGGAAAGACUCAAUCACUCGGGAAACUGUGUGUGCUGUGGUGUAAACCCAAACUCUCCUGUACCAUCAUGGUUUUGGAUUCAGAGGGGCAGUUUGGUGCACGCAAACACAGAUUUGGCAUCGGUACCACAUCCCUUCUAACAUGAUGGUUUUUCAUGGACUUCUCUGACAUCUCUCUUCUUCACAGACUCUUGAGAUUGAAUUGACAUCCCCAGCUUCUCUCACCAAUCCCCUGCAUUUUGGGUCUCCUAAAAUAUGGGCUUCUGAAGACGAGAUGAGCUGCUCCACUGCCAACAGCAGGUUCUGGUAUUGCCCAAGGAGCAGCAGCAGGGAAAGAGCUCGCACUCUGUUAAACUGCUUUUAGACCAGCACCUACACAAAGUCCUGCACACGUUACUCUGCCACUCACAGAAGCAUAGCAGUGCCAGUAAAGCAGAGGAUGUUUAAGACAAGAAAUAAGCUCCAUGUAGCCAGUGGAAAACCUGCUUUAAAUGUCAAAGCAUCUACAAACAUGAAGUGAACACCUAAAAGCCAAAACAUGUGCUGAUGCUCUUUUUCCACUACACUUGGCCAUCAAGCUGACCAGCAUCAGUUCACUGACAUUCAGCAUUCUCAGAUAUCUCAGAGCUGUUUACGAGUGCCCACGGAUGUCCAUUUGAUUGACGAGUGAACAGCAGCCAAGCCAGAGAAGCUCUUAUGAGUAUGAACUGUUCCCUUCUCCUGCUCAGAGCUCCUCCUAAGAGAAUUAGUCUUUAAAAUGUUCCCUUUCUGAAAACAGAGAGGAGGGGGAGAGGACUUUGGGGGUCAUGAAUGAAGAGGAAGCCAGUUUCAGUUGUUCCUAUGCAUCACUGAUUUGAGUUUUCACCAUCAUUGGUUGCACAGGGCCAUGAAGAGGAUUGCUGGGUGAGCUGAGCACAGAUGAGCUGGUGGAGCAGUGCUGACAAAUGCCCUGUGUAAAUGCGACGGCUGAUCUGCACAGGGACAUGUGAGCCAAGGAGGGAGCUGUGAGCGGAUUGCUUUGGACAGUCCAGUGCUCUCUUCCCCACAACUUCUGCAAGGGUCUGGGAAAUGAGGUGAGUGAGGCACAGAGGGUGGCAUGGGCAGGGAUGUGGGCUCAUGU